UACGUAGGGUGCGAGCGUUAAUCGGAAUUACUGGGCGUAAAGCGUGCGCAGGCGGUUCGUUGUGUCGGCGGUGAAAGCCCCGGGCUUAACCUGGGAAUGGCCGUCGAAACUGGCGAACUGGAGUGUGGCAGAGGGGGGUGGAAUUCCGCGUGUAGCAGUGAAAUUCGUAGAUAUUCGCAAGAACACCAGUGGCGAAGGCGGCUCACUGGCCCGAUACUGACGCUGAGGCACGAAAGCGUGGGGAGCAAACAGG
rnacentral:rRNA from 1 species